AACUGGAGGCAGGCGGCCACCUCCGCGCCUGCACAGAAACACGUGUCAACCGUUUCAGAAGCCCGAGUGCCAAGCCAGAGCGUCUCACCUGGGGGACUGGGCUGAGCUAGUCCAGCUCAGUCUUGAAAUCUGUCGGAUGCAGACAAGAGACAGGUCUCCAGAGCCGAGGACCCGCCGCACAGCAGCCCUGGUCAGCAGCUCUGCAGAGGUGCUGGUGUCGGACGCUGGGACUUGUGAUAUCAGGGGACGGGGAAGAAAGCAGCCCGGAAAUGGGUGUUCGCAGGGCACAGCAAACCCCAGCACCUUAAAGAGUCACGAGCCCAUUUCUCAUUCUUUUCCCUUCCCCGGAACUUUCUCGCAGCGCCCUGCACAACUUCAGCAUGUACUUGACAUUCAAAUGCACGGACGAUCAUGCAUCGCAUUCCUCGGUGGUUCCCAAGUCGCCUGAAUAAAGCAUUUCCCAGGGUAGGCGAACCCGGGGCUUAGGACCGUGGGAGCAGCCCUGGGACCUCUCUGCCUGGGUCAGGAAGGCUGCUUUUUCCGGAAGGGCGGCAGAGACCCUGGGAACUGGACCAGCCCAGCUCACAAGUAUGAAGAGAAUGCAAAGGGAGGAAGUGGCGGCUGAGAGUCAGCAUGAGUCAUCGUCCCAAUGAGAAUGAGGGCCGAGGUGUGCGCCUUUUUUUUUUUUGGUCUUGAUUGCGUGGACAUCACUGGGAAUGGAGGGAGCCGGUGGUGACUGUACCGCUCGCUCGGUCAGUUUUAAAGCGGCGCUCCGUGCGGGCAGGCCGGGCCUGAGCAUGACUUUGGUCCCCGGGAAGGAACAGCCCUCAGCUUCUCCCUGAAUAACUGGGAGACGGAACAGGAAGCUCUAUGACACACUCGGUCGAAAAUGACACAGACUCAGAAAAACCAGGACUCAGCCCCCCAGCGCCUCUGCCUGCUGCCGGCUGGAAGGCAGGACAAGGGGUCUCCUGGGACCGGAUUCUAACCGCUGUGGACGCUCAGGGUUUCCAUGUUCACUGGGAUGUUUCUGCAAACUUUCGGUCAGGGAUGGUGCACUCGUGAUGUUGUCUUAUUUAUCUGGCCAGUCUCUUGUGUCUUAAUCCCUCUCCUUCAUUAAAGCAAAACUCAAGAAAACCAAACUGUUUGCUUAUUCGCUGCCUGGAAACCCCAGCUGAAGGGGCCGACCCAUGUCCGCUGAGCUCCCCCAAGGCACAGGUGACGCUCGUCUCCACCACCUGUUCCUGACCAUGUUGGGCUUGAACCUCUGUUACUCAGCCAUGCUUGUCCUGCUUCUUAAAUCUCUAGAAGGUCUCUCUAGAGUCAGCAUGGGCAGGUCGACCUUUGAGAAGAACCCUGGAAUCCAUCUGGAAAUCUCUUGCCUCGCCCACCCUGAUCCUGGCCUGCACCUGUGACCCCAAGAUCACCAGGAGCCUUUCAGCUGGGGACCUUGGCCUUAUCUGUGUCCCCCUCCCUGCCCCACAUCCACCACCUCUUUGCUUAUUCAUUCCCUAAAGUUUUCUCUGGGGCCUACUGUGUGCCCGUUGCUGCCGGCAAGGCCCAGGUUGUGGCCAGCUCUGCUCACCUCCUGAGGGGCUUUGACCAGGUAGUGCCCGGACAGAUCACCAGGCCCGGCUCACUGAGAUGCCCUGAUUCCCCAGAUCCACGCCUCAGAGCUGAGGCCUGGAACUGGCCUCUUCAUAGUCCUUAAAGAAACAAGAUGGCAGGCCAGCCUCCUCUGCCUCUGGCCACGAGCAGGACAACCCACCUCCCUGAAGGUGUGCCUAGAGAGGCCACUGUGGUCACCUCCCAGUACCGUCUCUUCAUCUGUAAGCUUAGCAGACAUUCCGGAACGAUGCUGAGUGGGUGAGCUCGUGACUUCUCUGCAAGGCUGCCACGCUGAGCUGUCUGGCCUUCCGACCAGGGUUUGGUGGGCACUGAGGCUGGUUGACGCUGUGGCCAGGACUGGCCAGUGUCAGCCAGGCUCUCUCCAUGACACUGCCCAACAGGAAAGGUGGCCUGUGGAUCGAUUCUCAUCAGAAACCCAAAGUUGCUCGCUGUGUUUUAAAAAAAAGUUUAUUUGCUUAUAUUCCUGGAAAAUUGUGUUGUGGAGGGACAUGUCCUCCGUGGGGUGUCUCUAGCUGCUGCUUCUCAGCAGGACAUUAAGAAGGCCAGAUAAAAUGACUCUUAAGAUCCCCCUG